rnacentral:tRNA from 1 species
GGAGAGGUGGCCGAGCGGUUUAAGGCACUCGCCUGGAAAGCGGGCAUAGGGUCAAACCUAUCGUGAGUUCGAAUCUCAUCCUCUCCGCCA